rnacentral:rRNA from 1 species
CCCUUGCGGGUGCGGUCCUCGGUCGAAGCUGGCGGCAUUCACCCGGGCUAUAACACUCCCGUGAAGGAGCCACAUUCCCGGGACCUUUAUCCCGCCGCCUCAACCGAUGCUGGCCCGGAGGGGGGCAAGUGCACCGCCCAGAAGGACGGCUGAUCACCCCUUACCGAAGUCUGGUCUCAAGCGCUUCCCUUUCAACAAUUUCACGUACUUUUUAACUCUAUUUUCAAAGUGCUUUUCAUCUUUCGAUCACUCUACUUGUGCGCUAUCGGUCUCCCACCAAUAUUUAGCUUUAGAUGAAAUUUACCACCCAUUUUGAGCUGCAUUCCCAAACAACUCGACUCGUCGAAGACACCUCACAUGGACGGGGACAGCCAGCCAAGCACGGGAUUCUCACCCUCUGUGACGUCCUGUUCCAAGGAACUUAGGCCGGCGCCCUACCCGGAGAUGCCUCACAAAAUUACAACGCGGACACCGAAGAUGUCAGCUUUAAAAUUUGAGCUUUUGCCGCUUCACUCGCCGUUACUGAGGCAAUCCCUGUUGGUUUC